rnacentral:rRNA from 1 species
GGACGAACGCUGGCGGCGUGCUUAACACAUGCAAGUCGAACGAAAAGCGGGGAAGAGCUUGCUCUUUCCGGAAUUGAGUGGCAAACGGGUGAGUAACACGUAAACAACCUGCCUUCAGGAUGGGGACAACAGACGGAAACGACUGCUAAUACCGAAUAAGUUCCAAGGGCCGCAUGGCCCAUGGAAGAAAAGGUGGCCUCUACCUGUAAGCUAUCGCCUGAAGAGGGGUUUGCGUCUGAUUAGCUGGUUGGAGGGGUAACGGCCCACCAAGGCGACGAUCAGUAGCCGGUCUGAGAGGAUGAACGGCCACACUGGAACUGAGACACGGUCCAGACUCCUACGGGAGGCAGCAGUGGGGAAUCUUCCGCAAUGGGCGAAAGCCUGACGGAGCAACGCCGCGUGAGUGAUGACGGCCUUCGGGUUGUAAAACUCGGUGAUCCGGGACGAAAAGGCAGAGUGCGAAGAACAAACUGCAUUGACGGUACCGGAAAAGCAAGCCACGGCUAACUACGUG